rnacentral:tRNA from 1 species
GAGGGUAUAGCUCAGUGGUAUGGCACAUGUUUAGCACACACAAGGUCCUGGGUUCAAUCCCCAGUAUCUCCA